UACGACGGGGGCUAGCGUUGCUCGGCAUCACUGGGCGUAAAGGUUGCGUCGGCGGGUCUUUAAGUCAGGGGUGAAAUCCUGGAGCUCAACUCCAGAACUGCCUUUGAUACUGAAGAUCUUGAGUUCGGGAGAGGUGAGUGGAACUGCGAGUGUAGAGGUGAAAUUCGUAGAUAUUCGCAAGAACACCAGUGGCGAAGGCGGCUCACUGGCCCGAUACUGACGCUGAGGCACGAAAGCGUGGGGAGCAAACAGG
rnacentral:rRNA from 1 species